AGGCAGCCUACUUGUUAAAAAAGCAAUGACAUGAGAGGUGUUUAACUGCUCCUAGAUAAAACUAUGCUUCUGCUCUUCAGACUUGCUGAGAUUUUGUCUUUGAAGCUGGUCUAGUAGUCUUUAAGCACAUU
rfam:Brassica napus, WGS project CCCW01000000 data, contig: 2043